UUGGAGGGCAAGUCUGGUGCCAGCAGCCGCGGUAAUUCCAGCUCCAAUAGCGUAUAUUAAAGUUGUUGCAGUUAAAAAGCUCGUAGUUGAAUUUCGGGGUUAGUAGGUUGGUCAUGCCUCUGGUAUGUACUGGUCUCACUGAUUCCUCCUUCCUGAAGAAUCUUAAUGCCAUUAAUUUGGUGUUUUGGGGAAUUUGGACUGUUACUUUGAAAAAAUUAGAGUGUUUAAAGCAAGCUAACGCUUGAAUAUAUUAGCAUGGAAUAAUGAAAUAGGACGUUCGAUCCUAUUUUGUUGGUUUCUAGGAUUGACGUAAUGAUUAUAGGGAUAGUUGGGGGCAUUAGUAUUCAAUUGUCAGAGGUGAAAUUCUUGGAUUUAUUGAAGACUAGCCACUGCGAAAGCAUUUGCCAAGGAUGUUUUUAUUAAUCAAGAACGAAAGUUAGGGGAUCGAAGACGAUCAGAUACCGUCGUAGUCUUAACCAUAAACUAUGCCGACUAGGGAUCGGAUGAUGUUAAUUUUUUAAUGACUCAUUCGGCGCCUUAUGGGAAACCAAAGUGUUUGGGUUC
rnacentral:rRNA from 1 species